UGCCUAACACAUGCAAGUCGUACGAGAGUUUUUAACUCAAGUGGCGGACGGGUGAGUAACACGUGAGAAUUUGCCUUUAGGAGGGGGAUAACAGAGUGAAAACGCUGCUAAUACCCCAUAUGCUUUCGAGUGAAAUGGAUUUAUUCGCCUAAAGAGAAGCUCGCGGCUGAUUAGCUUGUUGGUAAGGUAAUGGCUUACCAAGGCGACGAUCAGUAUCUGGUUUGAGAGGACGAUCAGACACACUGGAACUGAGACACGGUCCAGACUCCUACGGGAGGCAGCAGUGGGGAAUUUUCCGCAAUGGGCGAAAGCCUGACGGAGCAAUACCGCGUGAGGGAUGACUGCCUAUGGGUUGUAAACCUCUUUUCUCAGGGAGGAAAUCAAUGACG
rnacentral:rRNA from 1 species